rnacentral:tRNA from 1 species
AUCCCGAAAAUGGCCUUUAAAUGCACUAUCGAAGGGUUGAGCAACAGAUUUCUAAUCUGUAGGUCUUUGGUUCGAAUCCAAAUGGGAUCA